CACUUACACUGUGCAUUCAACAUAUUUUGUGGAUAGUCCAUUUCGGUGACCUUGAUUCUGCAUGCUCUCUGCAGGGGAGUGUUAAUCUAUUGCAGAUAUGAAACUGAAAGUAGACUGGAAUUGCAAGGUGGCAGGCUGUAGUGGAAGGGAGGAUCUGAACAUAUUUGGUGGUUGCCGUCAGGCCAGCCCAAAGAAUGAGUACCCAACUAGAGCAGUAAUUCCUGUUAAAACAUUUUAAAAGGAAUUGAGAAAUAGGCUGUAUUAAGAGUGCUCUGUCACAAGUUAGAUGUCAAGUUGUUAGGCUUGGUGAAAGAACUAAACUAUAUAAUACACAUUCUGUGAAAUGUCUGGCUCAAAUUUUGCUCUAAAUGAUUUCUUGUAAACUACCCUAAAAAUAUGCAUUUGAUGCUGUUUAAAAUAGUACCUAAAUGUGUGCAAUUUUUUUGAAAUUUAUGUAGUUGUAUGGUGGACCACUAGAGGGUGUAUUUUAAUCUUCCAUAAUAAUGAAGAGCAUUUAAAAGCAUGAAUGCUUUGUAAAGCAAAUGAUUUGCUCCUAGCUGCUUUUAAUUCACUGUCCGUGAUUCAGUAUAACAUUUACAUAGUAUAUUUAGAAAAUAAUGCAAACCACAAAAAUAUAUUCAUUCUUUGGCUAGGAAGUUUGAAUGUGGAGCUAACUAUCAUGGUAUUAGAAACAUCUGCAGCGAGAUUGCUGAAUAACCAUUGAAGUAGCCAUGUAAUAUUCCUUACAGCAGCACUCAUUCUGAUCCUGACUUGGGGGGGGGGUGAGGAGACACCAGAUUUUUCAGAACUAAAAGCCAUGGUGAGGGGGAUGGCAGGAUGGAUAUCUGGUAUGCUGGUGUGUGACAGCAGGGAGGGUUUGGGUGCAAGUCAGGGGAGUGACACAGAAGGAGUUUGGAAGCUGACAGACUGGAAGGUGGAGAAAGAAAAAAGAGUUGGUCUUCCCUUAUCCUUCCCAGCACUUUCUUUCCUUCGGAAUGAAAAUUUGGGAUGCAGUUCAACAAAGGGUUGGCUGGGAGCCGGUUGAGUUGUGUGGAGCCAGGGGCACCAGGGAAAACCUGGCUACUGAGGAUAGAGGAAGCUUGGAGGAAGCAGGCACAGGGCCUAGAAGUGUGUCUGUUGGGGAGAUUGGACACAGCUGGAAUCUGUGGGUUGAGACUGAGGGAGGAGUCAUGAAAAGCAGCGUUAAGGAAGAAUAUAGUGAAGGGUAGCUGGGAAUGGGGAACGUUGGAGGUAGACUGGCUACUGGGAGGCAAGGUAGCAGCAAGAGGUCUGGGACAUCCAGGAGUGGUUUGGGGAAUUCUGCAGAAGGAAAGGGUUGGGGGUGUUGCGGUGCUAAGUUUGUGGAAAAAAUUCUGCCUGUGCAGGUCAGGAACUACAAAGGAGUUCAUUACUAGUCCUGAUAUUUCCUCUUGGAUCUGUUCUCAAAUAGAUGAGUGAACAAAAUAGGCUGUAUUGAAAUCCAGCAGUUGUUGUAAACAAGAAUUGCUUUGAGAUGAAAAAUAUACAAGGGAAAAACAGGGCUCUUAACUCCUUAAAACUUGAGCUCGAAGGAGAGAAAGCAGUGAACUUCACGGAUUGAAAACUACAAAAUUUCAAAUUAGCACUGAAAUACUAUGAUAAGGGUCAUAUAAACACUUUCAUAAGUUAAUUGACUGACCAUCUUCUGAUCUUCAGCAGUUGUAAAGUCCUCCUGUGCACAACUUUACCUGCACGGUGUUGGUAUUUUUUUCAAGCCAUCCAUAUUUGUAUUAUUCUGUAUGUAUCUGAAAUUAAUUUAAUUUGUCAUUCUGCUGCCAAUGCUUGAAAUAUAUUUGAAUAUGACAUUCUUU